CGUCUCCAAAAAAAAAAUUAAGAACUCACCCGACGGCCAAACCCAACAAACGACCGCACUCCAGAGUCCAGACUCCCAAGUAGGCUCAACUACGACUCUACGAGCCCAUGAGAAGUCUUUUAGAGCCCAAGGCCCCGCCCAGUUCCAUUUCUUUGAAAUGAAUCACACGAGCCCACGAGAAGUAGCCCAUCACAACUCGAGAGAUGGCCGCGCUGCUCUCUCUCGCCCGCUCGUGUUCCCUGACCGGGCGGUCCCCGUGCGGUGCCGCUCCUAGCCGACUCGAAUCCCUCGCCGUCGCUGGCCACGAGGCAAGAGCCCCGGUGCGCGGUCUCCAGAGUCCAGACGACACCGCCGCCGCGAGAGGUCCGUCCUAUUUCAUCAUCUAAUUCAGGGGUUGCUGGAUAAUGUGUUGCCUGCCAUGGGUUUUUUUAGCAGGCAGAAGUCAUUCCUUAGGAGCAACACUGUGUUGCAUCUGGAUAAUAUGGCAACUGGCAAGUACACAUGUGGGCCAGAUUGAGAAGGAAUUCAAGAGCGUUCCUUUUCCUUUUGCUGUUCUCUGCUACAGCAGCAGAAUAUGCUGAAUUCCUAGUUGAUGGUGAAAGCUUCUAUACUCGAGGUAGCAGCUGCACCCAUUUCAGACACUGGCGAGAUCGCUUCAUCCAGAACCACAAUCACAUGAGCCUGGUCCUGUGGUCUUCCGCCGAAGGUUUUGCUCAUUCUUGAGACAGAUGCAAGUUAUACAUAAUGGGAGCUUUUGUUUCUGUUAAUGGUUGGUAUCAGCAAAGGAAUCAGUUCUGUUCCCAGUUAACAAAAUCUCUAGCUGUUCGUUGUAGCACUUAUGGACCAGUGAGGACCAUAUGCAGUUGCACCUGUUGGUGGAAGAGCAAGCAAUAGUGCUCCAAAAGGAUCUGCCUUUUAAAACUGCUCUAUGGAGAUCUUUUGGCUCCAGAACUGCAGAAGUUGAGAUGGGUGAUAGUUGGUACCACUAAGAUAUGGUAGGCCGGUUGAUCUUACAACAUUGAUCCUUGUAGUGUUCUGCACCUUUGUUUGGAUGACGUUAGAUUGUUUACAGCCAAUGGUGUUCAGGUAUUUGGCCAGGUAACUCUUUCGAGCACUUCCACAGCCUGUGCUUAUGACACUCACAACAGUAUAUUUAGAGAUUAGGAAGACGUAUGCUCUGGUUAACAGUAAGAUAUAUACCUGCAGGAAACCAAGUAAACUGAACAGAGCAGUUAAGUAACUAAACAAUAAUCGCUAUUGUGGAGUCUUGGCAGAAGAAGCAAAGGUUUCGAGAGAGUGGCUAGUAAGCAGAACGAUAGGCCUCUAGCUGCCAUGCACGUGGGUUUCAUAAUAAGGGUCGAUUUUGCAUUGCAAAUACUGUUAAGUGCUAGCGGAGCACAUUGGGAAUUGCUUUUAUCAUAGCUAUAAGAUGGCAAGCAGGAGGCAAGACAGUUCAAAAGGAUUCUAAGUUUCCACCAAGGGACAUAAUCUCCUGUUUCUAUGAGGUUUCGGACAUAGUAGGGAACUAUGGAUUAUGGAUUUUGGGAGUAUGUCAAGCUUAUUGUUUAACCUGUUGAAUUCCAAUGUGCAAUAUCAUGAAUGGAGGAUGAGGAUAGGGCAAUUUUGUUGUUGAGGACGACUGUAAGCAUUUUUUUUUUGUGAGUUUAUUCAUUCUCUGGUGCCUGCAGGAGUGCAGGGGCAUCAGUUCGACAGGGCUUCUAUAUCAUAAAUUCAUAUGACAAAUGUAAAUCAUCUGCCACCUAUGUGAAUGUAAACAAUAUAUGAGUCAAAUACGAAAGGUAUGAUUCACAGUUUUCCUUAA